AUGGCUGAUUGGACCAGCUUCUGGGGUGGAAGUGCAGAAAUGCUUACAGCCAAUAAGGCCCGGCUCAAUGCCACUCCUGUACAAGUUCCUGCUCGGGACCGGCCCCCAGGGCACGGGCCCCCGGUGCUGGCCCGGGUUGUGGUCGGAUCUCCAGUCGCCGUGGUACGUCUUCAGCAGCGGGACACAGCUCAUCGUCCUUGGGGGGCUGCACCAACACCCGCUCCCCCUCCGCGGCUCACACUCCUCCUCUGUGCUGCAGGCCAGCCCCAGUCGGCGCCCUCGGUCACUCUGUUCCCGCCCUCCCCCGAGGAGCUCCGCACGGACAGGGCCACCCUGGUGUGUCUCAUCAGUGGCUUCCGCCCGGGCCGCGUGACGGUGGCCUGGAAGGCGGACGGCACCCCCGUCACCCAGGGCGUGGAGACCACCAAGCCCUCCAAGCAGAGCAACAACAAGUACGCGGCCAGCAGCUUCCUGAGCCUCACGCCCGCCAAGUGGCGAUCUGGCGGCAGCUACAGCUGCCAGGUCACGCACGAGGCGGGCACCGUGGAGAAGGCGGUGGCCCCCGCAGAGUGUUCCUAGGGCCCUGAGCCCCCCACCCUCG